UAAUUUUAUUGUUAGAGUUGAAUCUUAGUGAAUGAUAUAUGAGAUUGCUUCUAAGUUUAUAGUCUUUCCUGGGUACUACAAAAGGUUUGAGAAAGAUGUGGAGAAGGCAGAGGCAAUGUGGGAAUGACAUCAUGAUAUGGGUAUAACAUAAUCUCGAUGGAUUCUUUCUCAAGAACUCGAAAUGUUGACAGAUGCUUGAGUUGCAGAGGAUAUGGGAUAUAAACAUUUUUGCAAAAAGCUUCGCAGACUAACCCUAAUGACCUUGCCAGCGACCUUGCCAGCUGCAAGUGUUAGCUAGCAGUUCCGUGGAUAUACACAAAUGAAUCUUUAUGUUGGCCAACUUGGAUGAGGUAAAACCGAGACCUCUAUGCUUAGGUUUACAUGUCAGCGACGAUUAACGUGCUAUAUAUUGCUUAAGGUUACAUGUACUCGACCUUUGCUAUAUAACCUGCUAUCCCUAGAACCUCCAAGUAAGAGCAUGUCUUUUAAUCAAUGAUGCCACUUCGAAAGUUUACCUUCAAGUAUCAUUUGCAUGCUAAAUAAGACUGGAUUUUCCCUUGGUAAUUAAAUAAGCUUCAUUUGAAAGAGGUUGGUUACAUGUAGUCUGAUUUACCCAUAUAGGCUUCUACUGCUAGAACUCAUAUUGCUAUAUGUGUGUGCCCAGAGCCCACUUAAUGUUAUAUGUUGGCUUUUUUGGGGUGAUAUCAGCUGUUAAGCAUGAUAUGUGGGUUAAAUGUUCAAGUCUGAGUUGUAAGUUUCUGUUUCAUUGUUUCAUAGUUGAAUGCUUGAAGGCUUUCAUUGUA